GAGAGAUGACUACAAAAUUGAUCCGGAUGGUCUUCCUGGAAUCCAUAACCUGUUUAACGGAGCAAAGCUAAAUCCCUAAGUCCUUGAAAUGGUUAGCACAAUGUCAUGAUGUUAUGAUGUUAUGAUGUUAUGAUGUUAUGAUGUUAUGAUGUUAUGAUGUUAUGAUGUUAUGUAAAUAACAAGCACAAGCAAGUCACACAACAAUCAUUCCUAGGUUUUAAGGCUUGC
rnacentral:lncRNA from 1 species